CCUACGGGGGGCAGCAGUGGGGAAUAUUGGGCAAUGGAGGAAACUCUGACCCAGCAAUGCCGCGUGAAUGAAGAAGGUCUUCGGAUUGUAAAGUUCUUUAGUCAGGGAAGAAGUCAAUGACGGUACCGGAAGAAUAAGCUCCGGCUAACUACGGGCCAGCAGCCGCGGUAAUACGUAGGGAGCAAGCGUUGUUCGGAAUGACUGGGCGUAAAGGGUGCGUAGGCGGUUGUACAAGUUAGAAGUGAAAUACCCAGGGCUUAACUCGGGUGCUGCUUCUGAAACUGUAUGACUUGAGUGCAGUAGAGGUUAGUGGAAUGCCUAGUGUAGCGGUGAAAUGCGUAGAUAUUAGGAAGAACACCAGGGGCGAAGGCGGCUAACUGGACUGCAACUGACGCUGAGGCACGAAAGUGUGGGGAGCAAACAGGAUUAGAUACCCGGGUAGUC
rnacentral:rRNA from 1 species